rnacentral:rRNA from 1 species
CCUAGUAACGGCGAGUGAAGCGGCAACAGCUCAAAUUUGAAAGCUAGCCUUCGGGUUCGCAUUGUAAUUUGUAGAGGAUGAUUUGGGGAAGCCGCCUGUCUAAGUUCCUUGGAACAGGACGUCAUAGAGGGUGAGAAUCCCGUAUGUGACAGGAAAUGGCACCCUAUGUAAAUCUCCUUCGACGAGUCGAGUUGUUUGGGAAUGCAGCUCUAAAUGGGAGGUAAAUUUCUUCUAAAGCUAAAUAUUGGCGAGAGACCGAUAGCGCACAAGUAGAGUGAUCGAAAGAUGAAAAGCACUUUGGAAAGAGAGUUAAAAAGCACGUGAAAUUGUUGAAAGGGAAGCGCUUGCAAUCAGACUUGUUUAAACUGUUCGGCCGGUCUUCUGACCGGUUUACUCAGUUUGGACAGGCCAGCAUCAGUUUCGGCGGCCGGAUAAAGGCUCUGGGAAUGUGGCCUCCACUUCGGUGGAGGUGUUAUAGCCCAGGGUGUAAUACGGCCAGCCGGGACUGAGGUCCGCGCUUCGGCUAGGAUGCUGGCGUAAU